rnacentral:tRNA from 1 species
GUUUCUGUUUUACAAUGGUUUUAUGGCUGCAUAGAUCCCUUGGUAAGGGAGAGGUCGACAGUUCAAUCCUGUCCAGCAGCACCA